UAAUCCCCACCGAAGAAGAUGACCGAUGACUUCCGACAUCCGUUUAAAUUCAUAAAUGCGAAAACGUGAAAAUCCUCUGUUAAUCCUGAACGCGUAAUUUUAGCUGCAUUUCGAUUUUGUUUAGAAUGUAGCUAGUUUGUUUGAUAUUUUUGUAACAACACUUUAUAUCUUGGUAGGAUUCAGUAUCUGCCUUGGCCCAUCCGCAUAUUAUGUUUUUUGCAUUAUAAUCAAAAAUGGUUUAGAAACUUUGUGCUAUAACAUUGCGUCCCGCACGCCUCUAUCAACCAACAAGUAAAUAUGGCAAUGCUGUCGUGGGCUUCACAUAUUUCCCCCAAUUCAGCAAGUUCACCAGAGCACGGAUUCCACAAGAAGUAGGGUGGACGGUGCUGUGGACUUUCAUCAAGGGCAGGCCCUACAUCUAAAUGCAAUGAAUGCCAUCAACUCAAAGCUGUUUAUUACCUAAAUUACUUACACUUUGAUCAUAGGCUAAAAUAAAUAAACCCCUGGGACUAAACCCCCUGAAUCCAUGGUCUUUCAGUUGCUGGAUGAGCGGACGCAAAAGCAUGAGAAGUAUGGUGGUAAUCCGGAGCAGCCCAGUAAAAAGCACCAUGUGCUGACCUUACUGGGAGAAGAAGCUAGUGGAGGGACGCUACCUGCACAAGGAUCCAGCCACUCACGCUGCCCCAUGGUCUCCCUACUGAGGAAGACGCCUACCAGAACAGCAGAGAGCUGAUCAUACAACGUCUCAAACAUGUAGAGGACAGUAAGGCUGUGAAUAAGUAGCUUGUUUGGCCUUUCAAAAAAUCCAUGAUU